AUUGAACGCUGGCGGCAGGCCUAACACAUGCAAGUCGAACGAGUGGCGGACGGGUGAGUAAUGUCUGGGAAACUGCCUGAUGGAGGGGGAUAACUACUGGAACCGGUAGCUAAUACCGCAUACCAUCGGAUGUGCCCAGAUGGGAUUGGCUGGUUGGUGGGGUAACGGUUCACCAAGGCGACGAUCCCUAGCGGGUCUGAGAGGAUGACAAGCCACACUGGAACUGAGACACGGUCCAGACUCCUACGGGAGGCAGCAGUGGGGAAUAUUGCACAAUGGGCGCAAGCCUGAUGCAGCCAUGCCGCGUGUAGGAAGAAGGCCUUCGGGUUGUAAAGUACUUUCAGCGGGGAUGCGUUACCCGCAGAAGAAGCACCGGCUAACUCCGUGCCAGCAGCCGCGGUAAUUC
rnacentral:rRNA from 1 species